rnacentral:rRNA from 1 species
UACGUAGGGGGCUAGCGUUGUCCGGAAUCAUUGGGCGUAAAGCGCGCGUAGGCGGCCAGAUAAGUCCGGUGUGAAAGCCACAGGCUCAACCUGUGAAUGCCGCUGGAAACUGUCUGGUUAGAGUCCGGGAGGGGCGAGUGGAAUUCCUGGUGUAGCGGUGAAAUGCGCAGAUAUCAGGAGGAACACCAAUGGCGAAGGCAGCUCGCUGGAACGGAACUGACGCUGAGGCGCGAAAGCGUGGGGAGCGAACAGG